rnacentral:lncRNA from 1 species
AGAUUAGGUGCUAAUCUGCAGCUUGGUGAAACGAAUUGGAAUUGAGUUGAAACUUUAUCAGUUUUGGCUUAUAAAUUCUUGCAAUCACAACAACAGGGGACACAGCAAGCGAUCAGAGAAAGAUCAUAGAAAAACAGAAACAUAUGGCAAUUCAAGCUAAAAAACACAAGAAGCAAAGAGAAAAUACACCUAAUUUCUACCCUAAGCCUCAGAAAAUCCGUUCCCAGCAAAUAGAGAAACCCAGUCUGUCAGCAUCAGCACCAAAAAAUCAAGCCACUCAUAUUUUUCAGUAGAGAAAAAGUGCAGCAAAGAAUUGGAAGCAAUUUGUAGAGACACAAAACAAUCGGCCCAAAAACCACCGUUACUUGUUACCGUUGGCCACGAAAUAGCCACCGCCCCAGUUACCUAGCCCCAACCAUCUACAGUGUCGCUGGUCACCAAAAAAUAUACCUCUUUCAUCACCCACACAUCAUUUACACAGUCAUCGCUAUUAUUGGGCUCACCAAAAUUCUGAAUCUCUGGCCACAAACAUACAUAGCCGGUUGACACUUAUACACAGCAGAUUUAGGUAAAUCAUUACUCUUAGAUGCCAAAAUAAUCACAUUGCUCUUUGUCAUUCACAGCUGAACAUAGCCCGAAAGUAACCAAAACAGAAACAUAACCUAGAAAUUGAUCAACGCACAUAGCCAAUUAACAACCUAAACGUAGAAAGCAAACACCAUCUGCAAAUCAACACGGGACAGCCGACGGCAUCAGCGACAAGUGUUCAUCGAGGUCUAGGAUCCUGAGUUGCUGGGUUUUGAAUCUGGUUUGUUUGUAAAGAAGGUAGAUAGGGGCUAUGGGCUGGUGAAGAAUAAUUGGGAAAAGAAAGAAUGUUCCUGCAACCCCAGAUUCGCAUACAAGCUUGACCCGAGAUCCAGU